CCUACGGGAGGCAGCAGUGGGGAAUAUUGGACAAUGGGGGAAACCCUGAUCCAGCGACGCCGCGUGAGUGAAGAAGUAUUUCGGUACGUAAAGCUCUAUCAGCAGGAAAGAAAAUGACGGUACCUGACUAAGAAGCCCCGGCUAACUACGUGCCAGCAGCCGCGGUAAUACGUAGGGGGCAAGCGUUAUCCGGAUUUACUGGGUGGAAAGGGAGCGUAGACGGCAGCGCAAGUCUGGAGUGAAAUGCCGGGGCCCAACCCCGGAACUGCUCUGGAAACUGUGAAGCUGGAGUGCAGGAGAGGUAAGCGGAAUUCCUGGUGUAGCGGUGAAAUGCGUAGAUAUCAGGAGGAACACCGGCGGCGAAGGCGGCUUACUGGACUGUGACUGACGUUGAGGCCCGAAGGCGUGGGGAGCAAACAGGAUUAGAUACCCCAGUAGUC
rnacentral:rRNA from 1 species